rnacentral:rRNA from 1 species
AUUGAACGCUGGCGGCAGGCCUAACACAUGCAAGUCGAGCGGAGGAAGGGAGCUUGCUCCUGGAUUCAGCGGCGGACGGGUGAGUAAUGCCUAGGAAUCUGCUUGGUAGUGGGGGAUAACGUCCGGAAACGGGCGCUAAUACCGCCUACGUCCUGAGGGAGAUAGUGGGGGAUCUUCGGACCUCACGCUAUCAGAUGAGCCUAGGCCGGAUUAGCUAGUUGGUGGGGUAAAGGCCUACCAAGGCGACGAUCCGUAACUGGUCUGAGAGGAUGAUCAGUCACCCUGGAACUGAGACACGGUCCAGACUCCUACGGGAGGCAGCAGUGGGGAAUAUUGGACAAUGGGCGAAAGCCUGAUCCAGCAAUGCCGAGUGUGUGAAGAAGGUCUUCGGAUUGUAAAGCCCUUUAAGUUGGGAGGAAGGGCAGUAAGUUAAUACCUUGCUGUUUUGACGUUACCAACAGAAUAAGCACCGGCUAACUUCGUG